AUAACAAAUCAAAAUGACGAAAAUAACGGCAUAAAAAUUAAUCAUCCGAAACGAGAGAAGUAAAUACAUGAACAUGUACGUGCAAAUUUGGCCACAGAAAAAAAACCCGAAAUUAAGAUUUAAAACAAGUAUGAAAUACCUGUUCUACAUUGCCUCAAAAAGUCGGAAAGCGAAUUUUAGCAAACGGUGGGAAAAUGACGACAGCAAAAGAAAAUGAAAUUGACGAAAUUACGAGAAUAAAAAACACCAUAAUGAAUAAAAUAUCUGUUUCGAAAAUGACUGAAUUUCAGUUAUAUACAGCGGCAUUUCAAACACAUCAAAAUGGUUGGCAUUGUCGAGAAGUGCCUUCAAAAAGACCUAAUUCCCCCCCCCCCCCCCAACAAAUAAAGUACAUUGUGAAAGGGUACAACGUAUUGGCAACCUGCCAUUAUCGGCGUCGGCAUUUCGUGUGCAUUAUGACAAAAAAGAUCAUGUGUGUUUUUAAAAGUAAAUAGUGGAAACAUGGGUAGAAUCGUUCAGUUUCUAUUUUGUCACAAGUGGCCUUAUUCCAGGUAGGCUUAGACAUAAUGCUUUGGAAUGUUUCACUUCAGUAACAAAUGGGCUAGGCCCAGUGUUUUUGUAACCCUGUUCACUUAGGAAAGAGUUGCAGCUUUCAUCAAAGAAACUGAUGAUCUCAAAGUUGAGACUGCAUGGAUGAGCUAGGCUGCUUUGUCUGAACGAAAAUGAACCCUCCAAGGCUCCAACAGCCUCAUCACACAGAAACUCGAGGAACCGGAAGCAGGGAGGAGGACCGACAGAUGAACGGAUGACUUGCUUGCUGGGCUACCCAUUGCUGAUUCUUGAGAAAAAUGAGGACCACUGGCUGAUGAGGGACUUGCUUUACUGAGAUUGAUGUGCCUGCCUCAAGACAUCGUCAGUGCUCCAUCAGCAUUAAACUCGAGGAACCGGAAGCAGGGAGGAGGACCGACAGAUGAACGGAUGACCUGCUUGCUGGACUUCCCAUUACUGGCUAUCAGCAAAGUGAGGACCACUGACUGAUGAGGGAAUCGCUCUAC